rnacentral:rRNA from 1 species
AGCCGCGGUAAUACGUAGGGUGCGAGCGUUGUCCGGAAUCACUGGGCGUAAAGAGCUCGUAGGUGGUUUGUUGCGUCGUCUGUGAAAUCCCGGGGCUUAACUUCGGGGUGGCAGGCGAUACGGGCAUAACUAGAGUGCUGUAGGGGAGACUGGAAUUCCUGGUGUAGCGGUGGAAUGCGCAGAUAUCAGGAGGAACACCGAUGGCGAAGGCAGGUCUCUGGGCAGUAACUGACGCUGAGGAGCGAAAGCAUGGGGAGCGAACAGGAUUAGAUACCCUGGUAGUCCAUGCUGUAAACGGUGGGCGUUAGGUGUGGGGACCGGUUUGGUUUCUGUGCCGUAGCUAACGCAUUAAGCGCCCCGCCUGGGGAGUACGGCCGCAAGGCUAAAACUCAAAGGAAUUGACGGGGGCCCGCACAAGAAGGGCGAAUUC